CAGCCCAGAAGAAAGCUCCAGAUCGAAUCCACAUUUCCAGCCAAAAACCCAAAAGGGUCAAAUCUCCCAAAGCCUAUAAAUGAUAUCACAGAGAGAAGAUAAUUAAGUGCAUACAGUAUACUAAGAACUUCAAGAGCUUAAGAACUCAAUCCUGCUGUUUCUGUUUCAGAAUGCCACCUAAGUCACAGACACAGGAGAAAGAAAAGAAGAAUCAACAGCCUCCACCAGGUUAUCCAAAUGAAAAUAACACUGACCCCGGUAAGAAAUGCUGCCCUCGUUUCAGGAAGAAAGGGGAUAGAGGCUUCAUUGAGGGAUGCAUCUUUGCUUUGUGUUGCUGUUGGCUUUGUGAAGAAUGCUCCUAAUUAAUGGGACUGAUGGAAGGUUACAAUAGGAUAUUAGAAUUGUAAUCACAUUGUAUUGGUACAGUUGUGUUUUGAUGUCCCCUAUCAUGUAUUAUCUUUAAUAAUAUUUGUUUUCCGAAUUGCAAA